CGGGGCGUAGCGCAGCAUGGUAGCGCACCUGCAUGGGGUGCAGGGGGCCGUUGGUUCGAAUCCAAUCGCCCCGACCA
rnacentral:tRNA from 1 species